CGGCAUCUCAGUGCAAGAGGCAUCGCUGCAUCACAUCCGGUUGUGAUUGGGAGUCCCAUAGGGCGGCGCACAAUUGGCCUAGCGUUGUCCGGGUUUGGCCGGGCAGAGCAGGACCAACCAACAGGAGCUGGCCACAGGAGGAGAGCAACACCGGGACCCUGAGCACUGAUCAGGCAUGACCAUGGAGACAAACAGAAAUGAUCCUGUCUGACAGAGAUGUUAGAGUGAACGAAGACUCAGGGAAGCUGAAAGUGGUUAAUUUUGGUCUUUGACCUUUUCUUUCUCGACUGUAAACUCCAUCUUUUUUAAUGCAUUAUUUUAAUCAAAUAUAUUCUGUAAAUAUAUCUGAUAACUGAUUUAGCUCUAUUCUGAAAUGUUGAUGCGUGAUUAGCCUAAGAAUUAUGAAUUUAAGUCUAAGUCAAAUGUGAAUAACUAUGCUAAUGUCUUGCUAGUAGGUUUUAUUUUAACAGAAGGUUCUAUAGGAUAUUUAUGCCUAGUCCUGUCCAGACCCAUCUGUUCUCUCACCCAGCCCUCCUGCUGAAAAAUUGUGUUUUACAUUUUCUGCCCAUUUCAUUGAAUUGUACUUUAAUCCCAGCCUUGUUUAAAACAGUGCAGUAAAUUGGCUUUUUGUUUUUCAUGAUUGACCCUGGUCACCUUUUACAGUAUCCUAAUACAGAGCUGUAAACUAGCCUGUUGUAUUGCUGUAUUAAAGAGGUUUUGUAUCUUGUGUUUAUGGCUUUUAGGCCUGUCCCUUGUAUUUGUUGCACACUAAAAUAUGUCAAACCCACUAUUAUUACGCAUGCUGAGGCAGUGAAUGUUUGGUCUCUCUGUAGUUUAUCAGAUGAUGUGGCCUACGGUAUUGUACUGUGUACCGUGUAGGCUACUGUGUGUAUGUGUCGAGAUUACGGGCUGCCGACGUUUUUUAUUCAUGAACGGAAGCCAAUAAUAUAACAAGCGAUUUUUAAGCGGUGAACACGGGCAGCAGCCCUGCGCGCCGAACGGAGCAGCUCGAGCCCCUUUCCUGAACAGCAGCCACGGCCUUGUCACGAGCUGUCGACGCGCUGCGCUAGGGACUAAUCUGACAGCACCGCGCAGACCCUAAUCCGCCACUGUAUCCUAAUCUAUUUACUCUGCAUUCUAAGAGGAUUUGCUUCUAAAAUAUAUAUACAACAACCAAUCCGAUGCUGGAAAGUAUGGUGAAAUGGACAGAAAAGACCAGUCAGUCAGGAUGGGUUGGUUUCUGUGUUUUCUUUCUUUGUGUUGUUUUGUUUGGGUUCAAAAAAUAAUAAUCAUUGUAUGUUUUUUCGGAGUCAAUCGUUUUGGGGGAGAGAUUGGUGAAAAUAAAUCCAUUUCUGUCUGCUGAUACAAGGCUAAUACUUGUCUUAUGUAAACAGAAAGGGUUGUGUUUUGGUGAGUGAUACUCAGAGAGCAGCUGUUUGGAUAAGUGAUAUGUCCUUGGUUUUAUCUCCUGAUAUAUGUCACUUUCAAACAACUACUGUAGCCUGAUAUCACAUAUUGCAAUGACUU
rnacentral:lncRNA from 1 species